GAGAGGUAGGCUGUGGUGUCUUGCCCUGCAAUGCCGGAGUUGGAGUUUGUGCUUACGUGGAAAGCUUGUUUCUAGGCAGCUCGGGAAGGGAAGAAAAAAGGAGCACAAGAGAAGGUAAUGUGUUGGUAAGGAGGCAAGGUGAAGCUGUUAGCAAGGGGUAUGGUUCUUGCUUGAAGGACAAGAGCAUAGAUCCAGAGAAAAGGGUAAAUAGGAUGGUGGGGCAGCUCUGUGGCAGAGCCGGUUAGAGCCCUGGCCUGCAGUGCUGGCAUCCCAGGUAGGCACUGUUUCGAGCCCCAAAUACUCUUCUUUCGAUCCAGCUCCCUGCUAAUGUGCCUGGGAAAGCAGAAGAAGAUGGCUCAAGUCCUUGGUCCUCUGCACCCAUGUGGGAAACCCAGAAGAAGCUCCUGGCUCCUGGCUCCUGGCUCCUGGCUCCUGGCUCCUGGCUUUGGAUUGGCUCAGCUCCGGCCAUUGUGGCUAUUUGGGGAGUGAACCAGCUGAUGAAAGACUCUCUCUCCCUCUCUCUCUCUCUCUGUGUCUCUACCUCUCUCUGUAACUCUUUCAAGUAAACAAUAAAUUUUAAAAAAUUUUCAAAAAGCUAAUUGUUUAAAAAAUAAUAAGGAUGGCCUUGCUCAGUGACAGAUGAUGGGAAGCUGCUGGUGGUGGCUGGGGGUGGGGAGGAAUCUGAAAUGAAGUCAAAGCAGGCAGAUUGUGGAAGAAAGUUGAGACUUAGAGAAGGGACUUGCAAGAGAAUGAAUUUCCCAGAUGCCUUAUUUUUUCCUUAUUUGUGACUUUGUCCUAUGGCUGAGAUCCAGGAAUAAGAUCAAGCAGAGAUCUUGGAAGAAGAGUCCAAGGUGCAGGCUGCUAAAACUCAAAUAAUAACCCCGAGACUCUGGGCAUGGGAGCACUGAUUGACCAGAGAGUGUGAAGAGAAGAGAGCCAGGGAAGGAGUGCUGUGAUUCUGCCUGUGAAGCCACACAAGUGCAAGCAUGGAUCAGACCGAAGAUUCAAGAAGAAGAGAUAGGAAUCAGGACUUGAAUGAAUGGUUGGAGGUAGUGGAGUGUGGGAGGAAGGGGAGAGAGUCUAGAGAGAAAGCCCCUGAAAAGGACCCAGUGACUAGGAAGGGAAGAAGAGUCUACUGCUCUUUCUAUGCUCGCGCGGCAGGGACCCUGACAUCAGAGGCUCUGAUGGCCCGAGGCUGCGUUGGAGAGGAAAUAAAUGAGCCUGCCCUACUUCCAGUCUCUAGCAGUCUACGUGCAGCACGGAACCUGGGCAGGGCAAGACGGGUGUGGACGGCCGACCUCUAGUGGCCGGGAGUGAGAGGUGCAUCGCCUGCUAUGCUGAGAGCCUGGAAAGCAGAGUGACAUCGCGGGGUCGAUGUGUCCAGCCCAUGCUGGGGGGAAACUCAAAGCAAACGCAUUGCGCUGAACAGACUGGAUGGGGAGACAGCAACAUCAGUGUUCAGCUUGUUAGUGCUGUUUAGCCAGCCUGGAGUCGUGAGUAUGACCGGAAGUGGAGGAGGCCGGGACCAAGACUGGAGGGAUGGGACCUCCCUCCAAGGGCUCGUCCUUACUGUCAGGAAUACAUAGCGGCUCGCCACACAGUCCAGGGCUUCGACAGAAGAACGUCUCGAAGACUUCAUGUGAAGCCUCUCAAUGUCUAAACGUUGGGCCAACUUUUAAAAACGUUAUAGGGAUCAAAAAUUUGACCUGUGGUUUGUCCCGUCACAGUUCAGGUUGACCACGUUUAUUAUGGAAAAAAGAGUUUUAUCACACUCCAUGAAGUAGAUGUGUUAGACUACAACGCUUCUGGUGUGCGGAAAGCAACGACUUCCCUGGCUGUUUUUCAUUUCCGUCCAAUGGGUGCUUUGGAAAGAGCUUGGGCCCAGGCCCCAGAGGCCCCUUGCACCCAUUGUCUCAGCCUCGCAUUAACAAGUUGGCAUCCCCUUUCUGAGCCUCUUUUCUCAAGGGCAGUAUUGGCAAUCUCAUUCGAGGUCUCAUUUUAGCUCAAAAAUUCCAUGAUUCCUAAGGCACCACUUGGAUCCAAGAUUCUGUGAUUCUCAUUCCCAGGUGUCAGGGGCUGUGUCACCUCCCAGGAGGCACAGAGAGACUUUGUUUUUUUUUUUGUGCUGGCUACCUGCAAUCCCUUCACAGAGGCUGUGACGUGCAGCAGUGCCACAGUUACCCUUGGCCACAUGUUAGAACACUGUGGAGAGUUCUUCACCAAACGCAAUGCCAGGUCCGUUCCCAGCCACCCAGUUGCAUUGAAACAGACUCAGAGGAUGGGUUGCAGGCAGUGGGAGUGUUUUUAUGAAUCCCUGAGUGAUUCUCAAAUGCAUUAAGGUUGGCAGCCAGUGGUGCAGGUAGAAGCAGGCUUUUAGCCCAGUCUGGAAUGCCAGAGACUCAGACAACAGCAAACCAUGCUGGAGCCCAAGGCAAUAAGAGAAGAGCAGUCCCUGGUACACACUCAACACAUCCUCUCCUAUUUUGAUCCAAGUAGGAAAAGUUAAUAAAUUUCCACAAUCUGAAAUGUGACCA
ensembl:lncRNA